rnacentral:misc_RNA from 1 species
UAACUGCAUAUGUAUCAGAAAAUGGC